rnacentral:siRNA from 1 species
AUCUCUGGGCACUUGUAUCUCUGA